ensembl:snoRNA
AGAGUUACAUGAUGAAUAAAGUCAAAUCACCAUCUUUUGGCUGAGCUCCUGAUGGGUUUCCUAUUUUCUGAUAAAGCCA